GUGGGUAGCUAGAGGUGCGGGGUUGGGCUCCUUGAGAACCACUUCCUAAGGCGUUCACGGGGAAACAGCUACAGACGGCAGAGGCAGAAGUAUUCGGCCUCAGCAUCACUGACAGGGUCUUUCCAGCGAUCAUUUCACUGCACUGCAGUGGGAUCCACCAUAAGGAAAGACCCAUGUCUCUCCAAGCCCAGGCUGGACCAGAGCCAUGUGUCAGACCUGACUCGGAGCUCGGUGAAGGCUGGCAGAGACCUCUGAGAGCGGCCGAGUCUCGCCUUGUCCAAGAGGAGCAAGGGCUUCUGGGGAUCCCAGAUUGGUUCAGCAAGCAGCUUAAUUUGCAAAGACAUCUUUCCAGCCCGUGACUAUGAGGGUGCUUUUUAAACCUCGUGUGGCUGCGGAGCUACGCGUCUAUCUUCUUGCGGCACCUCAAGGAUUUCAUGACAGGAGCGUAUAAAGUGGCAUUGGAACGCCGGGAGCCUGCUUAACAGCAAACAGCGGGCAGGAACAAGGUCUAUCCACAGGGCUUCGGUGAUAGAGAAUUAAACAGGAGGAGGCCCAGGACGUCUGGAAGCACGGGGCAAAUCCGGGACCUAACUGCCUCCCUGUAGGGUCUGCGAAGCCAACCCACAGCUCGCCUCCGGGCUCUGGGCGGAGUGCUCUCUUACCCAUCAGCUGUAGGUCGUCCGCCUUCUGCAGCACGGUAACCUUCAAGCUCUCCGAGUUAACCAUCAGAAGGUGGCCCUCUUCGCACCCAAUGUACAGGUCGCUCGUCGGAGUCCAGCAGUGCAUCGUUGGGUGAAGCAAAGGGUAGAUGUCAUCUUUGGGCUUCGGAAGAGAACAGCACCCACAUGUUAAGGCGGCCAUGAUGGUCAAGGGCCACAGAAACACCCACGAAAACAACUGCCACAAAGAAGCCAGAGGGAGCCGCCAGGGUGGACACGUGAGCUCUUCAUUUUCAACAUCAGUGGCAAUUCUCUUUCCUCCGUUUUUUUUUUUUUUUUUCUCUCUCUAUGUAUAUAUUAUUUCACUACGAACAACUAAGGCUCUCCUGCUAAUGUGUUCAGAGGUCUCUUGUCACAGAUUCUGAUGCCCCUUUUGGCAACUUGAGUCCUUGAUUGGCUACAAACACCCCCCUUUUCAGGAAAGACUGUCACUAGCGUCUUGUCUUUUGGUCCUACAAAGGUCAGCUUGGGAUCUCUGCUUAGCUGGCUGUCAAAGGCAAUGAGAUGACCUUUGGCCUAACUCUACAGCUCCUCUAACGUGGUUCAUGAUCACUCCAAGUGCCUUCGAUACAAUAGAGGGAAUCAGAAUCGCUUUAGCACUGUUCAGCAAGGAGGGGCCGUCUCCUGUCAGCACGGGAUCUGACUCCAGAGCCUCCUCCCAGUGAGCCUCGGAGGGACCCUCCUCCCCAAGAAAGAAGGAAAGGAUCAAAGGAAAAGAAAAGAAAGCCACUACCAACCAACCAAAGGGACUAGACUGUCACCUGUGAGUGGCUUUUCUGUGGGAUCUGCCUGAGACCUGACUCAUCAGGAAAAGAGAUGCUCACUGAAGCAUAAUAUUGAAACCCAGCUGAGCAGUUCUGAUGACAUCUGACAGACUACACAUCACAGAAAGACUUUAUGGCACAGGGAGUUGUUGUUCAAUACCGAUGCUGUCUGCUGGUUUGGCUUAACCUCUGCUCGCUUGCCCAAGGCUGGGGCCACAAAAUUAAGCUGAGGACAUCUUAAACACGGAGCAUGGUCAAAGUCCACACAGUUCCCAAUUCCCGACUGAAUUGUGUUUUCAUUACGGUGUCCUCAUCUGAGAAGAACAAAGACCAGGUUCUCCAGAGACAACACGUGAACUUUGGUGACGGUGCCAAAUGACCAGACACCUGUCUGGCCCAUGUGCAACCACGGCCUGUCAAGAUCACGCUUCCUGACCACGCUCAUGUGGACUUGCACUGUUAGCUUUGUUUGAGGCAGGGUCUCGCUUUUAUCAAGUUGUGUUACAUGGAGGCAGCUCUCAUUAGACAGAGGGGACACGCAGCAACCUUGUGUGGAGGUUGGCUGUACCUGUGAGUGUUCAACAGUAACACAACCGAUAGUGACCACAAAUGAGGGCUUGAGGUGUGUGUGUGUGCACGUGUGUGUGUCUGUGAGAGUGUGUGCAUGCGUGCGUGCGUGUGUGUGUGUGCAUGCACGUGUGUCUGUGAGAGUGUGUGUGUGCGUGCGUGCGUGCGUGCGUGCGUGUGUGCUCUUGUGUGUAUUUCUCUAGGGUCACCACAAACUUAACAUUAGGCACUAGCUUGUGUUUAAAAACAGUGAGGUUCAGACUUGUCAAUUACCCAAGCACCUGUUUGUGUUAAAAUUGCAAUAAAACACUAGGAAAGAAAAAAAAAAUAUAUGGUCCCAGAAAAGGUCAGUUCUCUAACCCUGAGUUUCUCAUUGUUUAAUACUCAUGAAUCACCUGAGAAAUCUUGUUAAAACUAAAGGGUUGGUUUGGUAGGUCUCCGGUGGGAGCCAAUUUGUGUGUGUAUGAGUGUGUGUAUGUGUGUGUUGUUGUGGGUUUGUUGUUGUUGUUGUUUGUUUGUUUGUUUGAAGGAGCAGUUGUUUUCUUCUAACUUGCCUUGUCUGGUUUCCAGAUCCUGGGCCUAAAUGAGCUUUUUCAGCCACUAAGUUUCCGGGUCCACAGGGCCGGAAAGGCGUAUACGUGGAUGAUGGGCCUUAGCCUGCGGUCAGAGAAAGCCACAACCUCACCAGAAACGUUAGUUGCCACGAUGCCCACAAUCCCAUUAAUACACUGGAGGA